UUGCUUUGGCAACACAUAUACCCAAACAGAAAUAAUAUAGAAAAGACUAGCAGGGUCUCCAUAAGAGGCUGACAGGCAAAUUCAUGAAGCAUUUCAUAAAUUU
ensembl:snRNA U6 U6 spliceosomal RNA